rnacentral:rRNA from 1 species
GACGAACGCUGGCGGCGUGCUUAACACAUGCAAGUCGAACGGAAAAGCCCUGCUUGCAGGGUACUCGAGUGGCGAACGGGUGAGUAACACGUGGGUGAUCUGCCCUGCACUUCGGGAUAAGCCUGGGAAACUGGGUCUAAUACCGGAUAGGAGCCAUUUUUAGUGUGAUGGUUGGAAAGUUUUUUCGGUGUAGGAUGAGCUCGCGGCCUAUCAGCUUGUUGGUGGGGUAAUGGCCUACCAAGGCGGCGACGGGUAGCCGGCCUGAGAGGGUGGACGGCCACAGUGGGACUGAGAUACGGCCCAGACUCCUACGGGAGGCAGCAGUGGGGAAUAUUGCACAAUGGGCGCAAGCCUGAUGCAGCGACGCCGCGUGGGGGAUGACGGCCUUCGGGUUGUAAACUCCUUUCGCUAGGGACGAAGCUUUUUGUGACGGUACCUAGAUAAGAAGCACCGGCUAACUACGUG